UACGUAGGACCCAAGCGUUGUCCGGAUUUACUGGGUGUAAAGGGAGCGCAGGCGGAUUAUUAAGUCGAUUGUGAAAUCUUGCGGCUCAACCGCAAAACAGCAGUCGAUACUGAUGAUCUUGAGUAUGGAAGAGAGUGGCGGAAUUCAUGGUGUAGCAGUGAAAUGCGUAGAUAUCAUGAAGAACACCGGUUGCGAAGGCGGCCACUUAGUCCAUUACUGACGCUCAUGCUCGAAAGCGUGGGGAUCAAACAGG
rnacentral:rRNA from 1 species